CAAAUACUCCCUCCGUCUGAAAAUACUUGUCAUCAAAAUGGACAAAAAAGGAUGUAUCUAGAACUAAUAUACAUCUAGAUACAUCCUCUUUUAUUCAUUUUGAUAACAAGUAUUUCCGGACAGAGGGAGUAUGUU
rnacentral:pre_miRNA from 1 species